ACAAACAACAAUAAGCACUAAAUCACAAAACACUCUUACUACUUAUAUCUACUUAAUUUCCAAUAAAAUUUCCCCAAACAAAAAAUAGUCUCAGGAUGCACACUGGGGUUUAACCCUACUUAACCUCCACACAGGGCAAGGGUAUCCUUGCAUCAGUAUUACAGUUCAACUCUUCAACCCUUCACAAUGGGCAGGCAAUCUGUUGGAGGAGAAACUGACCAGAUGUUAAGCCUCUUUACAGUCUUACUGGGUAAUCUGCAUCAAGGAGCUAGUGUUGGGGACUAAGUACUGAAGGAGUCCUCACCAUCUGAGAGGCUGCAGCUUGUCCUACAUCCCAGGCUUCCUGUGUCAGUCCAGCUUGCCAAGUUCUGGGUGUAAACCACAAAUGGCCUCUCAAGAUAUUACAGAUAUGUGAACUAAAACUAAACUAAACAUGAUGUCUGUUAUAUGCAGUGAUGUGACUGGUGAACAAACUGCUUCACAGAAUGGGAUGUGUCAUAUCACAGCAUCAGUGUAAACAUAGCAGUCGCUGCGUGCAACAUGCAGUACACAGGAGCCACCACCCCCACUUAUCUCAGUGUUGACAGGGAUGAUACAGCAAGGAACAAAAAGUGGAAAGAGCAAUAUUCUCGCUAUAUAAUGGCGGUAUGUAAAUAAUUGAGUCUGGACCAGACAAUUCAGUGACUGACAUCAUGAGCAUCGAUUUACACAAUUGGGAUAUGAUGACAUACAUCAACCAAGUCAGCAAGCCUGAUUCUGUUAAUCGCCUCUUACGACAAGCAUAGUCACUAUUACGACAAGCAUGUAUUGCUGAAAACCUAUUAAUAUUCCAACCCAGAUCUUCACGGGUCAGGUAUUUUCUGAAUAUAUAGCUGUUUGGUUAAUGUCUGCAGAGUUUGGGUGAUUGGAAAAGAUGAUUUAGGAUGUGCAUGUGAGGAUGAGGGGACUUCUGUCACAUACCAUUAUAUCCAAAUUAGCAUGCUCUUCAUGAGAUCUUCUGGGAGAUAUUUCAGUCUGUUUGUGGUUCUCCCCUUCAGGAACCCUGCAUGUCAGUACAUUGAAUCUUGUUUUCACAGACCACAUUUAAAAACUUGAUAUGUUUGCAAUGUUUUAUGAACGACAAUUAAAUAGAUUUUGAGAU